UCAUUUGUAUGUGGUCUCCAGCAUGUAAGUGUGACUCCUCUUUUACACUCCAAUGAUAUUUCUGUAAGUGAGUCGGCAGCCUUCGGAGUAAAGUUAGGUCAGCUGGUUAAUUUUUAUCUUAUUCACUCUGCUGUAAAGUCUUCUACCCUUUGACAGUUCCUGCAGCAUGCUCAAUCAGCAUUAGUAGCUUGCCUGCAAACUGACUGCUCCUCCUAGAUCACCGCACGUGGCCACCUGGGGGUUCCUGGGCAGUGGUGGGGGAAGCAUCAGCCCUUCCCCUUCUUCCUGUUGCUCCUGCAUGCACUGCCUCUCUGGAGACACGGGUGGGACACACAACGCUUAAGGAGCAAGGCUGGAGCCACAAGCCCCUCACCCGGAGAAGCCCCGAGUGCUCCCCCAUCAGCUGGAGGAGCCCCGGGCUGGCCGAAGCCCCGAGACAUCCUCCCCCGCCCUCAGCCAGAGGCUCUCCGGGCUGGCCAAAGCCCAGAGCCAGCAGCAGCUGUGCCUCUCCUCCCCAGACCCAAGCCACCCAGAGAUGUUUUCAAUUAUUAUUUGGACUUCUGUUAUGUCAAAGCAUUUUUAAAGUUACUUCAGAAUUGUUGUCCAGACAACCACUUUUACCAAAAAAGCAAAAGAAACAAUAAUAAAAAAGACAAGAACGUG